rnacentral:lncRNA from 1 species
UCUCACAAGCUAAAUACUCAAAUGCCACAAAGUUUAUAUAUAUAGUUUUUUAACACAAUUAUCUAUCUUUUCCAAAAGAUUUGAGCCAGAAAUUCUUCUAGAAACUCAAGAUGUGGCUCCAACUAUUACUAUGAAUAAAAUCAAUUACUUAUUGCCUUUGAUUUGGAUGCACUGACUUCAACCCCCUAUAACUUCUUCAUUUAAGCUCCAAAUUCAUCAAACAAUACAUGAAAGGUGUAGUCAAAAAAGUGUUCUCUCCAAACCUAA